GUUGAAAGGGAAAGAGAGGCAGGCUAACUGGGUGCUGUCAAUGUGAUGUAUUGCAGAUAAUCCUCAGAUUCAUCAAGGCCUGAAAUGCAGGAAUGGAGGUAUGAAAUGAAGCUGAGCAGACAAAACAUGAAAUAUCUCAGG